rnacentral:rRNA from 1 species
AUUGAACGCUGGCGGCAGGCCUAACACAUGCAAGUCGAGCUGAGCGGCGGACGGGUGAGUAUUACCUAGGAAUUUGCCUGGUCGUGGGGGAUAACGUUAGGAAACGGACGCUAAUACCGCAUACUAUCAGAUGAGCCUAGGUCGGAUUAGCUAUAUGGUGAGGUAAUGGCUCACCAAGCCUACGAUCCGUAACUGGUCUGAGCGGAUGAUCAGUCACACUGGAACUGAGACACGGUCCAGACUCCUCCGGUAGGCAGCAGUGGGGAAUAUUGGACAUUGGUGGAAAGCCUGAUCCAGCCAUGCCGCGUGUGUGUAGAAGGUCUUCGGAUUGUAAAGCACUUUAAGUUGGGAGACGUUCCCGGCAGGAUAGACACCGGCUAACUCUGUGCCAGCAGCCGCGGUAAUUC